rnacentral:lncRNA from 1 species
CCUCCUUCGCAACAGAUGUUCAUCUCCCUUCUCUUCCACAGUCUCCUAGCGGUGAGGGAAAGGAGAGGAGAGUAGAAAGUUAAGUGCAGAAAUUCACCCAUGCGAGACCCUUAUGAUGCUCAGUGGUGCUGAUUGGAAGUGCUGGAGGAGAAUCUCUCCAACAUAGAGGGAAUCAUUAGCCACCCAAACCUGUCUGUUGAGAAGACUCCCAGAAACCCCUUGGACCCACAGUUGCUGAGUGUGCCGGGACUGGCCUUGGAUAGCUCUCCAGCCUUACAAGGGACAGCAGUGUUUUGAG